rnacentral:tRNA from 1 species
AGGCAAGAAACUGACUAAGUGCUAUGGUUUCGACCCAUAAACAGGUAUACCAAUACCCUUGCUUU